rnacentral:misc_RNA from 1 species
CUGCCCUCAAGCACGGCUUGUGUGUUGGGCCUCCGUCCCCCACCCGGGGGACGGGCCCGAAAGGCAGCGGCGGCACCGUGUCCGGUCCUCGAGCGUAUGGGGCUUUGUCACCCGCUCUGUAGGCCCGGCCGGCGCCUGCCGACCCUCAUCAUCCUUUUUUCAGG